rnacentral:rRNA from 1 species
UCAGACGAUGCGUCAUGCAUAUCAAUAAGCGGAGGAAAAGAAACUAACAAGGAUUCCCUUAGUAACGGCGAGUGAAGCGGGAAGAGCUCAAAUUUGAAAUCUUCAAGGUUUUACCUUGACGAAUUGUAGUUUAAAGAAGUGUUUUCUGCUGAAGUUUUGGUAAAAGUUCUUUGGAAUAGGACAUCAUAGAGGGUGAGAAUCCCGUAUUUGACCAUUAUUUUCAGCUUUGUGAUACACUUUCAAAGAGUCGGAUUGUUUGGGAAUGCAGUCCAAAAUGGGUGGUAAAUUUCAUCUAAAGCUAAAUAUUGGCGAGAGACCGAUAGCGAACAAGUACCGUGAGGGAAAGAUGAAAAGAACUUUGAAAAGAGAGUUAAACAGUACGUGAAAUUGUCAAAAGGGAAGCGUUUGACACCAGUGUUGUUUUCUCGAAAAUCAAUUAAAAAUGGCUCGAUUUUGUAUUGCUUGAGACCUUAAAAGCUCACUGUACAUUUUUCGUGUCUUUUUUAAUGCACUUUUCGUUUAACAAGUCAACAUCAGUUUCUUUUGUUGUAAAAGGGUCAUUGGAAGGUGGCUUUCUUUUCGGAGAAAGUGUUUAUAGCCCUUGGCCUCUGCAACCGGAGAGACUGAGGUCUGCAGCGUAGACUCUUCGGGGUUAGAUACAUUUGUGCUAAGUUAUAGCUUCUUAUAGACAACUUGUUGACUAUAAUUAGUCUUGUAGCUUACUCGCUUAUGCUAAUUUUACCUACGCUUAGGAUGUUGAACUACUGAGACAUAGA